UGAUGAUAAACCAAGCAGCUAAAAUCAUGAGUAAGUUUCUUUUCAAACUAUUCUAUAGUCAGAUGUUCAGUUGUUCCUAUUUGCAAAUCAGUGGAGUGGGAUGGCAAUGAAAGAUAUUUAAUACCAGUUAUAUUUGUUUUAUUUCUACAGUAGCAUUGUUGUGCCAUUUUUAUGGAAUAUAUGAUUUAAAAAGUCUCAGUUAGCCUUCAUAGCUGAGUGAACACCAGCACUAGAUAGCUACGUUAGCUGUCAAAGAUUCCACUGGUGUCGAUAACAACACAGUAAUAAUAUAUUCUAUUCCCUAAAUAAAACCAAUAAAAAUGUUCAAACUUACUUGUGAAAGGUAAUCCCCCGAUCCCUGGCUUCAAUAGUCCGCCGAUUUGAGCAGGCAUAUGCCGCACAAUGCUCAGGCAUCUUGUGUUUGUCUUCUUUAUUUUUGUUUGUCUUGGCGACAGGACGACCGGUCCAAGAUGGCGGCCGCAAUUCCUGCGCUCCAGCAGCCAAUGCGGCAUCUACUCUCUAUGAUAUCUAUGCUUGAAACCAUCCAAAUUAGAGAUAGAAAACUUUAAAAGGCGGGCUCCUCAGUUCACGCGCCGCUGAUGAGUUCAUUAUUGGAUCCCUGUGUGCGCGUGCACGCGGCAGCCCCCGGUCGCCGCGCGCCUGCUCCGCGUCGGUUCCGGAUUUCUCCUCAUUUUGAAAGAUAUGGAAGUAUUUCCGCUUAAAUGGAGAUUAAAAUCGAGGAAGAAGAUUUUUUAAAAACACAGAUUUGUCUGUCAUGUGAGGAAGCUGAACGGGACGGUCCGGUGGACCCGAUGGACCCGGUGGACCCGGUGGACCCGGUGGACCCGAUGGACCCGGUGGACCUGAUGGACCCGGUGGACCCGGUGGACCCGCGAGGGUCCAGGACUGCCGGGUCAGACCAGGACCGACUUUAGGGACACGAAGAAACAGAUUGCGUGAGGCUGAAGGCCACUGAUCUCCACAGCUGAAAACCCUCCUGAGAUCCUGCAAGUCUGAGGAGAUCUUCUGUUUGUGGAGCUUCAGGUCACGCAGGAGCGGUCGAUGGUUUUACAUUCAUGUUUUCUCUCCCCGUCGAUGACCAGAACCCUAAAGAUGGAAGAGUUUUUGCUGCCUGUGGUCCAAACUCCACCUGCGGGUCGUCUUUACCUCAACGCUUUCUACUUUACCUGCAAAACUAACUGCAACUUUGUGCGUUUAAAGACGUUACUGCUGGAGAAUCCUCGACUAUGUCAUGAAUGUCUUCAACUGAUGACAAACGUUUGACUUUUGUCUGUAUGUUUCAGAGACAAUUAGUACUGAUGUUCAAUGAUUACUGUUCUGUCGAUCAUUAAACGUGGACAUUUUAUUCAGUCAAAUUUGUUAAUCCUGCAAAAAGUGUAAAAUAAAACGUUUUUUUCUUUUA